rnacentral:rRNA from 1 species
UACGUAGGGUGCGAGCGUUGUCCGGAAUUAUUGGGCGUAAAGAGCUCGUAGGCGGUGUGUCACGUCGGCCGUGAAAACCUGCAGCUUAACUGUGGGCGUGCGGUCGAUACGGGCAUCACUGGAGUUCGGCAGGGGAGACUGGAAUUCCUGGUGUGAGCGGUGAAAUGCGCAGAUAUCAGGAGGAACACCGGUGGCGAAGGCGGGUCUCUGGGCAAUAACUGACGCUGGAGGAGCGAAAGCCGUGGGGAGCGAACAGG